ACGGUAUGCUUAAAUACUGGUUUGGGUUUAAAACUUACUGAGUGCUCAUGUAAUCGACUUAAAAUAAAGUUUUUGUAAAUAAAUAAAGUUUCUUGUAUGUACUCACUCAUUUAUAAGUACCAGUAUUUUUUUAAUAUUAAAUCAUUUUCUUCAACCAGCAAAUGCACUAAUCUUAUUGUUUUCAGUACCACCUGUCUUAGUAUUUGAACCAUUUCAGCACUCGUUUAUCACAUUUUCUCAUUAUUGCAGGGCUUUAAGAAUAGUCUUCUAGUGGCUCAAAAUGCAAGGCACUGAAUGCGGAUAAACCAAGGUGUAUUUACUCCAAGAAUAAAUUGACAGGGAAACAUGAUCUCUAAAACACAACCUUGAGAAAUUUGAUUACAACUGUGUUUCAGUCAUUACAGUUGAUGGAGAUGCUCUGCAAGGGAGAGUGUUUGUAUGACUGCAGAUGUCAUGCCAAUCUCACGUGGAGUUCCCUUACUGUGCCUCCAACAUUGGACGACCAGAUAUUUGUGCCCAUUGUGAUGAGCCAGAAGCACAGAGAAAUCCAGAACUGUUAACAAAGUUUAGGAUUGUACUUCCAGUUUAUGAGCAAUGCAUCAAUGUCCACAAGAAAGACAUUCCCCAUAGAUGUCCUAUAAAAAAUGAAUACUGUGAACCUAAAUUUUGUUGGUAUACUGUGGCUUAACUGUUUACUUGUCUGAAGUUGCUUAGUGUUUGAAGUUGUUUUUCUGGUUGUGUUACUAACUAUUCAUUUCAGUGAAAAUAAAAUGUAAGCAGACUUUAAACUGUUGAUGUAUAAUGAUGCCUUUUGUUGUUCAGUAGUUAUUUUGCAUAAUAUAUUUGAGUAUAUUUGUGUGUUUUAGUCAUCCUCUCACAUGUUGGGUGAAUGUUUGAAAUUUUGCUUUUGUUACAUGUAUUUUUAUUAAAAAGAACUAUACUUC